rnacentral:lncRNA from 1 species
ACUUAAUGAUAAUUAUCAUAUUGCUAAUAGAAUUUCAAUUGAAUUUGUAUUAAUUAAUAUGGUAUAGGUAUAUAACAACAUAAAUCAUGGCAUAUAGCUAUAACAUCAAUGGUUGAAGGUGUCUUUAAAAAAAGUGAGGUAGAGAGGACCUCAGUUCGAUUCUCUGCAACUGCGAUCAGGAGUGACUGACUUGAUGCCAGGAACUGACCCCCAAACCAAAUUAGGUAGUCCAGUGCGCCGAAGACUGGUGGCGAAAACAAAAACACAAAAAAAAAAUGUGACAAAAAAUGUAAAGUGAAAUUGACAUUAAUUUUCUUUACGCGUAAUAAUUACUUAUUAUGCAUGAAAAAUAAGUUUUAAAAUUGACAAAAAAGUUUCAAAUAUUUCUAGUCCCUUUUUUAAUAUUUUUUGUACCAAGUUCCUAAAAUAUAUAAGAAUAAUAAAUAAUUCAUAAUGUCUAUAAAAAAAAUUCAUAAUGCUUCUUCAAAAAAGAAAAAUAAAAAAAAUUCAUAUCAUUAUUUUUAUAAGUAAUCCAUAAAGCAUACAAUAUUUAUCUCGCUUAGUCCCUAACAUCUUGUCGAUGUAUAUUAAUAUGAUAAAUUUUCAUAUACUUUAUACAUAACUUAUAAAAUGAUAGGGAAUUCAAUUCAUACAUAAUUUUUUUUUUUUUUUGUAUUUAGAUACUUACAAGUAGAAAAG